GGCAAAUACAAAAAUAUUAGAAUUCUAAGGCUACCUAAGGAUUCCAAGAAGUGGAGGCUUGAAGAUUCUUGAGGUUAUGUUGGACUGUUCUUGGGAAGUUGCAAGAUUUUUUCUUUUAGUAAGCAUUGAUUGAGAUUUUGAGGAAUAGCACAUUUGAGUUAUUGUUGAGGAGGUGUACGAGAAGAAUAUUAGGAUUUGACAUUAUUGUUUAGUGACUAAUGGAAGAAUCAAAAUUUGUGUACUUUUCUGUCAAUGGCAAUAUUUUAGGAAUUUUUCUUUUAUCUAUUGAUAUAACCAGGAUGGAGCUAGAACUUUGAAUUAUGGGGGGCGGUUUUAUUGUUGGUUGUGUG